GUGGGGAAUAUUGCGCAAUGGGCGAAAGCCUGACGCAGCGACGCCGCGUGAGGGAUGAAGGUUUUCGGAUCGUAAACCUCUGUCAGAAGGGAAGAAACUACGUUGUGCUAAUCAGCAGCGUACUGACGGUACCUUCAAAGGAAGCACCGGCUAACUCCGUGCCAGCAGCCGCGGUAAUACGGAGGGUGCAAGCGUUAAUCGGAAUUACUGGGCGUAAAGCGCACGUAGGCUGUAGUGUAAGUCAGGGGUGAAAUCCCACGGCUCAACCGUGGAACUGCCUUUGAUACUGCACAACUUGAAUCCGGGAGAGGGUGGCGGAAUUCCAGGUGUAGGAGUGAAAUCCGUAGAUAUCUGGAGGAACAUCAGUGGCGAAGGCGGCCACCUGGACCGGUAUUGACGCUGAGACGCGAAAGCGUGGGGAGCAAACAGGAUUAGAAACCCUUGUAGUCC
rnacentral:rRNA from 1 species